rnacentral:rRNA from 1 species
CAACGUCCCACGUUCGGAGUUGCAGUCUGCAACUCGACUGCAUGAAGCUGGAAUCGCUAGUAAUCGCGAAUCAGAAUGUCGCGGUGAAUACGUUCCCGGGCCUUGUACACACCGCCCGUCACACCAUGGGAGUUGGAAGCACCCGAAGUCGGUGACCUGACCGAAAGGGAGGAGCCGCCGAAGGUGAAGCCUGCGACUGGGGUGAAGUCGUAACAAGGUAAC